rnacentral:rRNA from 1 species
GUAUGGAGCAAGCGUUAUCCGGAUUUACUGGGUGUAAAGGGAGCGCAGGCGGCCUUGCAAGUCUGAUGUGAAAUACCGGGGCUCAACCCCGGAGCUGCAUUGGAAACUGUGAGGCUGGAGUGUCGGAGAGGCAGGCGGAAUUCCUAGUGUAGCGGUGAAAUGCGUAGAUAUUAGGAGGAACACCAGUGGCGAAGGCGGCCUGCUGGACGAUGACUGACGCUGAGGCUCGAAAGCGUGGGGAGCAAA